GUGCCAGCAGCCGCGGUAAUACGUAGGGGGCGAGCGUUAUCCGGAAUUAUUGGGCGUAAAGAGUACGUAGGUGGCUGUGUAAGCGCAAGGUGAAAGACCGAGGCUUAACUUCGGUGAGCCUUGUGAACUGCAUGGCUUGAGUGCAGGAGGGGAAAGUGGAAUUCCUGGUGUAGCGGUGAAAUGCGCAGAUAUCAGGAGGAACACCGGUGGCGAAGGCGACUUUCUGGACUGUAACUGACACUGAGGUACGAAAGCGUGGGUAGCAAACAGGAUUAGAUACCCUGGUAGUCCACGCCGUAAACGAUGAGCACUAGAUGUUGGCAUAGAGAUAUGUCGGUGUCGAAGUUAACGCAUUAAGUGCUCCGCCUGGGGAGUACGCACGCAAGUGUGAAACUCAAAGGAAUUGACGGGGACCCGCACAAGCAGCGGAGCAUGUGGUUUAAUUCGAAGCAACGCGAAGAACCUUACCAGGUCUUGACAUCCCUCUGAAAGCUUGGGUAAUGCCGAGCCCCUCUUCGGAGCAGAGGAGACAGGUGGUGCAUGGUUGUCGUCAGCUCGUGUCGUGAGAUGUUGGGUUAAGUCCCGCAACGAGCGCAACCCUUGCCUUUAGUUGCCAGCAGUAAGAUGGGCACUCUAGAGGGACUGCCGGGGACAACUCGGAGGAAGGUGGGGAUGACGUCAAAUCAUCAUGCCCCUUAUGAUCUGGGCUACACACGUGCUACAAUGGUCGGUACAAAGAGAAGCGAAGUCGUGAGGCGGAGCGAAACUCAAAAGCCGAUCCCAGUUCGGACUGUAGGCUGCAACUCGCCUACACGAAGUCGGAGUUGCUAGUAAUCGUGAAUCAGAACGUCACGGUGAAUGCGUUCCCGGGUCUUGUACACACCGCCCGU
rnacentral:rRNA from 1 species